GUGCCAGCCGCCGCGGUAAUACCGGCAGCCCGAGUGAUGGCCGAUCUUAUUGGGCCUAAAGCGUCCGUAGCUGGCUGCGCAAGUCCGUCGGGAAAUCCACUCGCCCAACGAGUGGGCGUCCGACGGAAACUGCACGGCUUGGGACCGGAAGGCGCGACGGGUACGUCCGGGGUAGGAGUGAAAUCCCGUAAUCCUGGACGGACCGCCGAUGGCGAAAGCACGUCGCGAGAACGGAUCCGACAGUGAGGGACGAAAGCUAGGGUCUCGAACCGGAUUAGAAACCCUGGUAGUCC
rnacentral:rRNA from 1 species